rnacentral:sRNA from 1 species
AGUUUGAUCGUUUGAAGCCUUCUUCUCUCAGCUCGUCAAAGUCAUUCUCCGUCCAGUUUUGUUCUGUUGCGGGAAGACCCACUACGUUAUGUGAGACUAUGGGGAAAGCUGAAAUUUGGUUAAUCCGAACAUAUUGGGAUUUUGAAUUUCCUCGUCCAUACUUACCUAAUUUUGAGUUUGUUGGAGGAUUGCACUGCAAACCUGCCAAACCUUUACCUAAGGUUUUAUGGAGAUACAAAGGAAAGAAACCAGCCACAUUAGGAAACAAUACUCAGCUCUUUGAUUGGAUACCCCAGAAUGAUCUUCUUGGACAUCCCAAAACCAAAGCUUUUAUCACUCAUGGUGGAACUAAUGGGAUCUACGAAGCUAUUUACCACGGAGUCCCUAUGGUGGGAAUUCCCAUGUUUGCUGAUCAGCCUGAUAACAUUGCUCACAUGAAGGCCAAAGGAGCAGCUGUGGAAGUGAACCUAAACACAAUGACAAGUGUGGAUUUGCUUAGCGCUUUGAGAACAGUCAUUAAUGAACCUUCUUAUAAAGAGAAUGCUAUGAGGUUAUCAAGAAUUCACCAUGAUCA